ACCCCGACCCGCCGCGGGAUCUCCCUCCGCCUGGCGACGCCUGCGCACUCACUGCUCUGCCUCUGCCACUGCCCCGGGCUGCUGCCACCUUGAGCCUGCGCAAUGAGCUCUCUCUCAACGGAAUCCCCUCCCCUCUGGGGGCGCACGCGCAGAGAGGAGCCCUAGUACCCUAGCGAGGGACUGUGGGCGGAACAUGAAACAAGCACGGAGAAGAUGCCCACACUGGAUGGAUGCUCACGUUUAACACAGUUUGUGACAAGAAUAGGGCUGAGGGGAAACCAUCUCCUGCCCAGCCUGGACUUCCUCCUUUGGUACAGGUGCGUUCUUCAGCCUCAGGUACCUCUUCUGCCCCUGGGAAUCAACCCCUCAGAUGCAUUUACACUGGUCUUGCCUCCUGCAGCCCCUGUUUAUUGUGGUUUGUACAGCGCUGAGCACUGAAGUUCCCUGGCAGCAUGCCUUGCUGCUGCUCCUAUACCAAAACAGCCCCAAUAUUUUCUCAAUGUUUUUGCAUAGUUUUGCAUUUUUCUGCACAUAAUUUUGAGUUUUUAGUUCUGCAAUGAAAAUCACAAUCAACUAUUUUUUUAAUAGCACAACUAAUCACAAUAACAUUUUUAAAAUUGUUUUGACAGCCCUAAUGAAUAGCCAUAGUGGUAGCACUAAUAAUAAUAGCGCUAGUAAUAGGAACAUUAUUACUACUAGUAAUAUGGUUAUAUUAAUAAUAAUACCAAUAGUCAUAGAAUAAUAUUUGUUAUUACUACUGCUAUUGCUAUAAUAAUAAUAGAAACAGUAGUAGUAGUAAUAAUAAUAAUAUCUAGAGUAGUAGGAAUAGUACUAUUCCUAUUUGCACUACUAUUGCUAUUACAAUAAUAGAACUAGCAAUAGUAAUAAUGACAUUACUACUAUUUUUUGCAUAAUUACUAGAAUAGCUAUUAUAAUUAGAGCAGCAAAUAUAGCAAUAGGAUAUAAUAUUAAUAAUAACAGUAGCAGUGAUAGCAAGUCAUAAUAACUACUACUAUUAUGUAGAGGCCUUUCCCAGCCCAUCCAGAAGACUCAGCACAGCCCAGUGCCCAUAUACCCAGUACCUCAGAGGAAGGCUUAUAAACAGUAACCCCCCUGACACAUGUAGCAGAAGCGGGUGGGGGGUAGGAUUCCUGCCUAGCUCCACGUGGCAACCAGAAAAGCUCAGAAGCCUGGAACAACCCCUUGGAGAACACAGGCACAGCUACGCCCAGGUCACCCCAACUAGUGGCUAUGCAACCUCAAGUUGAGGACCGAUGUAUGCAUAUUCAGGUACCUUUUUCAGGUAAUGUUUAGAGCUGUUGCUCCUUGUGGGGGAUCCAGCCCUGUGAGCCCAGCUGGAGAGUGAUGCUGAGCUCCAUGAAGAACCUGGAGGGUGUUGGGUGCUGGACAAGAGGCAGCAAGCUUUCCUGGACCAAAAGGAGACACAGGACACAUGAGUCUAACGUGUAAUCACUCCCACAUAUGUCUACCCUGCCCUGGGUCCUGGUGCUUUCUCUAGUGAGGAGACAGAGGCAGCUUGAGCUCUGGGUGGCUCCUGGUCAGAUAAGCAGGGGCUGAGUGUUGCCCCCUUGAAGCAAAAUCUCCCAGUCUGCCUUUUCAGCUGGCCCAGUGCCCCAGAGAGACCUGCCUCUCUAUUCCCAUCAAAGGCUGCUUAGGACGGUGGCGAUGCCAGGAUCCCAGUAUGUUACACCCAGGAUGUCUCUGAGGGAUGUAUUUUAUCUGGACAAGAACAAAAGAAGCCAAAGCAAGUUCCUCUACACGAAACACAGUGCAGUGGGAUACUAACAAUCAGGGAACAUUCCCGAGACAUGACAACAUCCUGCAUUUCACCCAGAGGAUGUCCUCAUACUCUCCUUGCCCUUCCCCAGGAGAGGCAGGACCUGCCACAGGCUGCCCCUCCUUCCCCCAGAAAAGGCACUCUACUGGCCCCUGGCCACAGGCUCCUUCCAAAUGGCAGGGUCCUUGCUGCGCAGUGGUACAGGGGAGUGAGGCCUCGAGUGUGACCGACUUCUGAGCCCAAGGAUUUUGAACAACCUUUGGACCACAGUGAAUCCUUGGAAAGGGAAGAGGCUGGGAAAUCACAGGGAGCUCUGCUCUGCUUGGUUCCCAUCUCAAUGCUCCAGAGAGGGCACAGGGAUACUGUGUUCAGUGCUGGGGCUUUCUGAGCAAAGAAAGCAUUACAGUGUUGUAAAGGGUAGGAGGGCAGGAGAGCAGCAGGCACCCAGGGGUGCAGAGUUCUGGAGAGAGGCUGAGAAGCAAAACCUGCCAGAUUGGUAGCAGUUGGCAGCAGCAGCUCCUUGCAGAC